CAUCCACGGUGGUUUACGCUCCGGGAUUCUCAGCAGAGGCCUAGCCCAGUGUGGUCCCGGUGUCUUCUUCUUCUUCUCUUCAAAGGUAUUUACACCUUUUAGAAAUAGAUGACAGCUCGACGCCUAUACAUGUGCGUCUUGAAAAACUGAAAAAGGAGAUUGAUGCACUCAGUUGUCUACCACCAUCGACUACGUGCACCAACCAGGGAGCUGCCACAGAAUCGACAUCUCGGAAAAAAACGACUGAUCGUCGUUAUCAAACGGGGGUUGCAGGGAAAAAAAAAAGUACAUACGGUUGACCAGUCUGAGAGACCUUCUACAAGCAGGGAGCAGCUUGACCUGUCUACACCAACAAAGGACACAUGGAACUAUCCAGGAUGCUUGACUGACGAGGAAAUGCUGCAGGGGAUCUGUGACUAUGAAGAAGAGAGUACUACAGUAGAAGCAACAUCGAAAGAGUGUGUAACCCCAUUUCAACAAAACAGAGCAGGUAUACCCACAGAACCCACGGUUGUGAUUGUGCACCCGAGGGACACCGCUAACACCUUAUAUGUAGAGUUGAUAAAUGAAAUCAGUGAACUGCGUCGUUCCAACACCGCAUUAAAAGAGAUAGUAACCGAUCUAUGUAAGAAACAAGAGGAGGCUAGACAAACAUAGGACACCAACGUCAGCUCCAUAAAACAAUACCUGAUAGCUCAGAAUGCAUCCAGUGAAGCUAUCAUAGCUCUACUUACAAAUACAUUUUAUCCAAGGUAAUCUACUAGGGAUGGUGUCUAUAAGGGGUGGUGUCUAAAUGAACAAUACAGACGUGUAGUAUGCCUCCCCCCAGAAAGUUUUGAAGAGGGGCACGGGUGAUAUACAACGAUCAGGGGAUAACCAUAAUAAUAAUAAUAUAAAUAAUGAUGAUGGGUAUAGGGUCCUGUUACAGAAUACAGAGGAACACCUUAAAAGCCUACAAGCACUGGUGAAGAGAUCACACGUUGUAGCUGCUGCUGCUGCAUACCCUGCAGAAGCCUUUCAUGAUGUUGACCGAAUUCAUUAUACAGAACAACAUUCAUCGUAUCUAGAUAGUGGGUAUGCAGACUUGGUCAGUGUCCUAGACCCUGGGUUUAAUACCUCCGGCGCAAAUAGCCAUGUGUUGGAUCAUGCCGACGGACCACUUGUGUACACAAACAAUGAUGCAGGGGCUGUGGGGUGUGUGUCGGCAGAAAUAUGUGACGACCGGCUGAAUCAGAUGGGGACAAAUGGAGAUGUGGAGCAUGAACAGGCUGUUGGGGGGCCUGCUACGUGUCAAGCGGGAGGGUCAGGGGAGCAGGCCCGAACAGAAGGGUGGCAUGUUGAUACACUAACAGGCGGAGGGGAGAUAAUGAGGGGGGGUGAGACCUCCUCAGGCAUAGAGGGAAGGACAGUCACCAGGAGAGAGAUGCCUUCAUUCAAUGCAUUUGAGCUUAGACAAAGGGUUGAUUUCAGAAACGUGGAUCUUACUGACCUCGAGCAAAUCCCCUACAUAGUCAGAGAAAGAGUGGCGGGUGUAAUUGAUAGAGCUGUAGAGGCCUCUCCGGCUGGUAGUGUGCUGAACGUUUUGUUUCGGGGGCCUUCAUUGGCUAGUGAUAUACAAGCUGUUCUACGUGUAAACGAGUUGUACAACGCUGACUUGUUUAUGGAGCAAAUUGCACAAGUAAUACAGAGCAAUGAUGAGUCUAUAACGGAUGAUGAAUUGGAAUUAGUGAUCACCGUAGCUAAAAAUAGAAACGGGGGGGUCUACCUAAAAUUAGCAAAUGUACCCUAUGAUGAGAUAUUAUCAAAGAAGUGUCGGUUUCUACACACCCCAGACAAUACUGAUAAUAACCUGUGCUUUUCGCUCUGUUUAGCACAUUUAAAUCAUCCAGACAUGUCCCUGCAAGCUAAAGUGAGAUUUGCAACUCAACUGUUGGUCUGUGGUCUGUUGGAUAGGAAGUCCAGUAUCCAGUUACAGAGGAAAGUGUUGAUACCCAGGUGACUGAGUUUCGUGAUU